AGAGCGUACGGUGGAUGCCUUGGCACCAGGAGCCGAUGAAGGACGUAGGAGGCUGCGAUAAGCCUCGGGGAGCUGUCAACCGAGCUGAGAUCCGAGGAUGUCCGAAUGGGGAAACCCAGCCACAGUGAUGUGUGGUUACCCGCGCCUGAAUAUAUAGGGCGUGUGGAGGGAACGUGGGGAAGUGAAACAUCUCAGUACCCACAGGAAGAGAAAACAACAUGUGAUUCCGUGAGUAGUGGCGAGCGAAAGCGGAAGAGGCUAAACCAUGGGUGUGUGAUAGCCGGCGGGCGUUGCAUUCGUGGGGUUGUGGGAUCCGUCUUGUCAAUUCUGCCGGAUUGGCCGACAGUGAGAAAUUAUCGUGUUAGUCGAAGUGGUCUGGAACGGCCUGUCGUAGAGGGUGAGAGUCCCGUAGACGAAAACAUGGUGACUGUCGUGACGGACACCCGAGUAGCAGCGGGCCCGUGAAAUCUGCUGUGAAUCUGUCGGGACCACCCGAUAAGCCUGAAUACUCCCUGGUGACCGAUAGCGGACUAGUACCGUGAGGGAAAGGUGAAAAGUACCCCGGGAGGGGAGUGAAAUAGUACCUGAAACCGUGCGCUUACAAUCCGUCAGAGCCUGCGCCACUUUGGUGGGUGGGUGAUGGCGUGCCUUUUGAAGAAUGAGCCUGCGAGUUAGCGGCAUGUCGCGAGGUUAACCCGUGUGGGGUAGCCGUAGCGAAAGCGAGUCCGAAUAGGGCGUUUGUAGUGGCAUGUUCUAGACCCGAAGCGGAGUGAUCUACCCAUGGCCAGGGUGAAGCGACGGUAAGACGUCGUGGAGGCCCGAACCCACUUAGGUUGAAAACUGAGGGGAUGAGCUGUGGGUAGGGGUGAAAGGCCAAUCAAACUCCGUGAUAGCUGGUUCUCCCCGAAAUGCAUUUAGGUGCAGCGUCGCGUGUUUCACUCUGGAGGUAGAGCUACUGGAUGGCCGAUGGGCCCCACAAGGUUACUGACGUCAGCCAAACUCCGAAUGCCAGAGUGUGAGAGCGCGGCAGUGAGACUGCGGGGGAUAAGCUUCGUAGUCGAGAGGGAAACAGCCCAGAUCGCCGGCUAAGGCCCCUAAGCGUGUACUAAGUGGAAAAGGAUGUGGGGUCGCGAAGACAACCAGGAGGUUGGCUUAGAAGCAGCCACCCUUGAAAGAGUGCGUAAUAGCUCACUGGUCAAGUGAUCCUGCGCCGACAAUGUAGCGGGGCUCAAGUACACCGCCGAAGCCGCGGCAUUCACAUAACACCCAUGCGGGUCUACGGGCCUGUGUGCAGUGGUGUGGAUGGGUAGGGGAGCGUCGUGCAGCCAUGGAAGCGCCGGAGUGAUCCAGGUGUGGAGGCUGCACGAGUGAGAAUGCAGGCAUGAGUAGCGAAAGACGAGUGAGAAACUCGUCCGCCGAAUGACCAAGGGUUCCUGGGCCAGGUUAAUCCGCCCAGGGUGAGUCGGGACCUAAGGCGAGGCCGACAGGCGUAGUCGAUGGACAACGGGUUGAUAUUCCCGUACCCGUGUGAACGCGCCCCUGGUGAAUCAGUGAUGCUAAGCGCCCUGAAGCCGCCUUCGAACCUUCGGGUUCUCCGGUGUGUGGAUGCGCGUGAACCGAUCUGGUAGUAGCCAAGCGAUGGGGUGACGCAGGAAGGUAGCUGAGCCAGUCAGUGGUAAUACUGGUGUAAGCGUGUAGGGCGUGACCUAGGCAAAUCCGGGUCACAUACAGCCUGAGACGUGAUGCGUAGCCGAUUGAGGCGAAUUCAGUGAUCCUAUGCUGCCGAGAAAAGCCUCUAGCGAGCUUUCACACGGCCCGUACCCCAAACCGACACAGGUGGUCAGGUAGAGAAUACUAAGGCGAUCGAGAUAACUGUGGUUAAGGAACUCGGCAAAAUGCCCCCGUAACUUCGGGAGAAGGGGGGCCUCGUCUGGUGACGGAACUUGCUUCCUGAGCUGGGUGGGGCCGCAGAGACCAGAGAGAAGCGACUGUUUACUAAAAACACAGGUCCGUGCGAAGUCGUAAGACGAUGUAUACGGACUGACGCCUGCCCGGUGCUGGAAGGUUAAGAGGACCGGUUAGCCAGUAAUGGCGAAGCUGAGAAUUUAAGCCCCAGUAAACGGCGGUGGUAACUAUAACCAUCCUAAGGUAGCGAAAUUCCUUGUCGGGUAAGUUCCGACCUGCACGAAUGGCGUAACGACUUCUCUGCUGUCUCAACCACAGACUCGGCGAAAUUGCAUUACGAGUAAAGAUGCUCGUUACGCGCGGCAGGACGAAAAGACCCCGGGACCUUCACUAUAGCUUGGUAUUGGUGUUCGGUUCGGUUUGUGUAGGAUAGGUGGGAGACUGUGAAGCGGGCACGCCAGUGUUCGUGGAGUCGUUGUUGAAAUACCACUCUGAUCGUAUUGGACAUCUAACCUCGGACCAUGAUCUGGUUCAGGGACAGUGCCUGGUGGGUAGUUUAACUGGGGCGGUUGCCUCCCAAAAUGUAACGGAGGCGCCCAAAGGUUCCCUCAGCCUGGUUGGCAAUCAGGUGUCGAGUGCAAGUGCACAAGGGAGCUUGACUGUGAGACUGACAGGUCGAGCAGGGACGAAAGUCGGGACUAGUGAUCCGGCACCGGCAAGUGGAAGCGGUGUCGCUCAACGGAUAAAAGGUACCCCGGGGAUAACAGGCUGAUCUUCCCCAAGAGUCCAUAUCGACGGGAUGGUUUGGCACCUCGAUGUCGGCUCGUCGCAUCCUGGGGCUGGAGUAGGUCCCAAGGGUUGGGCUGUUCGCCCAUUAAAGCGGCACGCGAGCUGGGUUUAGAACGUCGUGAGACAGUUCGGUCUCUAUCCGCCGCGCGCGUUAGAAACUUGAGGAAGGCUGUCCCUAGUACGAGAGGACCGGGACGGACGAACCUCUGGUGUGCCAGUUGUUCCGCCAGGAGCACUGCUGGUUAGCUACGUUCGGAAGGGAUAACCGCUGAAAGCAUCUAAGCGGGAAGCCUGUUCCAAGAUGAGGUUUCU
rnacentral:rRNA from 1 species